rnacentral:rRNA from 1 species
GACGUAGGAGGCGAGCGUUGUCCGGAUUCAUUGGGCGUAAAGAGCACGCAGGCGGUUUGGCAAGUCGGAUGUGAAAACCCGAAGCUCAACUUCGGGCCUGCAUCCGAAACUGCCCGACUAGAGGUAGGUAGGGGAGAUCGGAAUUCCUGGUGUAGCGGUGAAAUGCGCAGAUAUCAGGAGGAACACCGGUGGCGAAGGCGACUACCUGGCCUGUUCUUGACGCUGAGGCGCGAAAGCUAGGGGAGCAAACGGG